UUUUUUUUUUUUUUUUUGAGAGGGAACCUGGCUCUGUCUCCCGUGCUGAAGUGCAGUGGUACGAUCUCGGCUCACUGCAACCUCUGCCUCCUGAGUUCAAGUAAUUCUGCCUCAGCCUCCCGAGUAGCUGGGUCUACAGGUGGGCACCACCAUGCCCAGCUGAUUUUUAGUAUGGGGUUUCACAAUGUUGGCCAGGCUGGUCUGAAACUGCUGGCCUCAAGUGAUCUGCUCGCCUUGGCCUCCCAAAGUGCUAGGAUUACAGGCAUGAGCCACUGUGUCUGGCCCUUUGCAGGGAUUUUUUAUUGCCUGAUGAUGCUGUCAACGAAUGCUGGACAUUUGCCAUACACCAAACACCUUAAUAUGUACAAUGGCUCUAUGAAGUGGAUAUUAUUAUUAUCUCUGUGUGACAGGGAUACAGUGAAGGCACAAAUAACUUGUUUGCCCGCAUUCACAGCUGGUAAGCAGUGGAGCUGGGCUUUGAAGCAGGCCAGGGCUCUCUCCAGGAUUAGUCUGCCCAAACAGCGUGUGGCACUGUCUCUCUGUUACCUGAUCUAACUUCAAAUUAUGACCUUCCCAUACUCAGAUGAGGCCAGGAAGAUACAGUGAAAACCUGUCAAAUAUCUGAGAAAAAAACAAGAAGGCUUUUGGGCUUUUCCCUUUCCCUUCUCUUUGUUUAGAAACCUCUCAAACUACUAGCAGAUGGCCAAGAAAUUUGAGACACGCAUCAAAAGUACUUACUUAGCACGGUGCCUGGCACAUAGCUAACAUUUAUUUAACAUUUGCUGCUGUUGUUUUGGUGACAUUGAAGGCUGAGUUAGCAUGUGUGUGUGUCUGUGUCCCUGUAUCACCACAGAUGGCCCAGUCUGCCGGAGGCUGUGCCACUGAAGCCUGGAAGAUGAAAGCUGACCACAGCUACAUGAGAGCUGGUGUCAGAGAUAAACACAAAAAUACCUCUGGUUGGAAAACCAGAGAGUUCUGCACAGGCAUGUGAAAGUAUGUGCGGUUCCCGACAGCAGUGUGUGGAGAGCUGUUGCUUUCUGUCUGCCUCACUGGGGCUGGGGAAGCCAGGCCUAUUCCCGGGGACUUUUUAUGGACAUGGACACGGGCUUGCUUUCACAGAGCCCCCUCGCCCCCAUUUCCUCCUGCCGUGGGAACUGGAGGGCCGCCCAACUCCCACCUCGCUUCCCAGCUAUGGGAGAGCUGUCGCUUGUGCCUCACUUGGCCUGGGGUUGGCUAUCUGAGCCCUCAAUGUCACUUUUUCACCCGGAACUUGACGGGCUCAGCCUGCACCUUGGCUUUCCUCGGGUGUCUUGGAACGCGCAGCAGCUGUUCAUCUCCGGGUUACCCACACUUUCUGAAUCAUUGGAGUCACUGGGGGCUUGGUGAAAAACAUUCCCAGGCCGCUCCGCUCCUGGAGAUUCUGAGUCAGCACAGCUGGGUGAGGCCAGGAACAGGCCUCCCUAGCAAGGACCCCCAGGUGAUUACAAUGAGGCGAAUUUGGGAAACACCCAUCUAGGCCGUGUGUGAGGCAUCUUGUUUAUUCAGGGCGGCAGGACAUUCAUCCAUUUAUCCAUUCCUGAACUGUAUUUGAGUUAUUCUGUUAGUGCUAAGUGGUGAGGAUUACACAGGGUCCUUCCUUGAGGUACUUGACAGUUUCAUGUGGAUGAUUAGAUAUAUAAUUAAAUAAUAAGGAAUAGAAUGACCAUUUACAACAUUGUUUCUAGAAGAAAAUCUGUUCUGAAUUCCAAAUCGCCAGUUUAAAUUGCAUUUUGAGAAUACAUCAAACUUAGAAAACCUGCAUGUAAGUUUCUGGGUGGUGCCACUCCUACACAUAUAAAAUAAUGAUUUUAAAUGUUUACAGCAUAUUUUAUCUAAAAAUUAAACUCAGAGAAACAAAUAUAAACCCUUCUGGAAUAAUUUUAUUUUUCCUUUGGUAUGGUAGAAAUUUUCUUCUGUUUUAUUUUCACUUACUCUUCUGAUCGGUUUCAUGAGACAUUUCCACCCAUGUAGAAAAGCAGUGUUACCAGCCUGGCCAACAUGGUGAAACCCCAUCUCUACUAAAAAUACAAAAAUUGACUGGGCUUGGUAGUGGGCACCUGUAAUCUCAGGAGGUUGAGGCAGGAGUAUUGCUUGAACCUGGGAGGUGGAGGUUGCAGUGAGCCAAGAUCACGCCACUGCACUGUAGCCUGGGCGACAAGAUCGAAACUCUGUCUCAAAAAAAAAAAAAGAAAAG
ensembl:lncRNA